rnacentral:piRNA from 1 species
UGAACUUUGAAUGCCUUAAUGCUCUUUGGC